rnacentral:rRNA from 1 species
GAUGAACGCUAGCGGCAGGCUUAAUACAUGCAAGUCGUGGGGCAGCAUGAGUAGCAAUACUUGAUGGCGACCGGCAAACGGGUGCGGAACACGUACACAACCUUCCGAUAAGUGGGGAAUAGCCCAGAGAAAUUUGGAUUAAUACCCCGUAACAUAUAGAGUAGGCAUCUUCUUUAUAUUAUAGCUUCGGCGCUUAUUGAUGGGUGUGCGUCUGAUUAGGUAGUUGGCGGGGUAACGGCCCACCAAGCCUACGAUCAGUAGCUGAUGUGAGAGCAUGAUCAGCCACACGGGCACUGAGACACGGGCCCGACUCCUACGGGAGGCAGCAGUAAGGAAUAUUGGACAAUGGGCGAAAGCCUGAUCCAGCCAUGCCGCGUGAAGGAUUAAGGUCCUCUGGAUUGUAAACUUCUUUUAUUUGGGACGAAAAAAGGGAAUUCUUUCCCACUUGACGGUACCAAGUGAAUAAGCACCGGCUAACUCCGUGCCAGCCGCCGCGGUAA